GAUGAACGCUAGCGGCAGGCUUAAUACAUGCAAGUCGAGGGGCAGCGGGGGUAGCAAUACCUGCCGGCAACCGGCAAACGGGUGCGGAACACGUACAGAACCUUCCUUUAAGUGGGGGAGUAGCCCGGAGAAAUCCGGAUUAAUACCCCGUAACAUUGUGUGGUGGCAUCAUCAUAUAAUUAUAGAUUUAUCGCUUAGAGAUGGCUGUGCGGCUGAUUAGGUAGUUGGUGAGGUAAAGGCUCACCAAGCCAGCGAUCAGUAACUGGUGUGAGAGCACGACCAGUCACACGGGCACUGAGACACGGGCCCGACUCCUACGGGAGGCAGCAGUAAGGAAUAUUGGUCAAUGGACGCAAGUCUGAACCAGCCAUGCCGCGUGAAGGAUGAAGGCCCUCUGGGUUGUAAACUUCUUUUAUAGGGGACGAAAUGCAGUUAUUUCUUAAUUUGUUUUGACGGUACCCGUAGGAAUAAGCACCGGCUAACUCCGUGCCAGCA
rnacentral:rRNA from 1 species